rnacentral:snRNA from 1 species
GGCUGGGGGGGCGAUCUGUCUGUGACAUCUACCACCCCAUUGAUCGCCAGGGUUGAUUCGGCCGAUCCGUCGGGCGAGGCGAUGCCCGCUUCCUCCCUCACCACUCCAUGUGUGCCCCUCCCGAAGCUGAGCGCUCGACUGAAGAGGACACCCAUCCCUGCUAGAGAAGGAAUUCGCUUCCCCCUGCCAGGACCUCCAGAAAACAGCUCGAGGUUCAGACACGCUGCGGGAAGGCUGGGGAACGAACACGGCACCUCUGAAAACGUGGAGACCGCGACACAGGGCUGUGUUUUGACUU